GGGAAGGUCCAUAGCUCAGUGGCAGGGCAGCUGUUUUGCUUGCAGAAGGUCCCCGGUUCAAUCCCAGGCAUUGCCA